AACGGUCUAUACCUGCGGUACCUGCGGAGGGAUCAUUAAUGAAAUGCAAGGACGCUCUUUUUAGAGGUCCGACACUUUCAUUUUCCUUACACUGUGAACCAAAUUUUUACAUCAUUUUUAAACUCAUCAGUCUAAGAAUGUUCGAGUCUCUUAAUUGAGCAUAAAACUUGUAAAAACUUUCAACAACGGAUCUCU
rnacentral:misc_RNA from 1 species